GACGAAGCGACCUGGAAAGGUCCGUCGUAGAGGGUAACAACCCCGUAGUCGAAACUUCGUUCUCUCUUGAAUGUAUCCUGAGUACGGCGGAACACGUGAAAUUCCGUCGGAAUCUGGGAGGACCAUCUCCCAAGGCUAAAUACUCCCUAGUGAUCGAUAGUGAACCAGUACCGUGAGGGAAAGGUGAAAAGCACCCCGGAAGGGGAGUGAAAGAGAUCCUGAAACCGUGUGCCUACAAAUAGUCAGAGCCCGUUAACGGGUGAUGGCGUGCCUUUUGUAGAAUGAACCGGCGAGUUACGAUCCCGUGCGAGGUUAAGCUGAAGAGGCGGAGCCGCAGCGAAAGCGAGUCUGAAUAGGGCGUUUAGUACGUGGUCGUAGACCCGAAACCAGGUGAUCUACCCAUGUCCAGGGUGAAGUUCAGGUAACACUGAAUGGAGGCCCGAACCCACGCACGUUGAAAAGUGCGGGGAUGAGGUGUGGGUAGCGGAGAAAUUCCAAUCGAACCUGGAGAUAGCUGGUUCUCCCCGAAAUAGCUUUAGGGCUAGCCUUAAGUGUAAGAGUCUUGGAGGUAGAGCACUGAUUGGACUAGGGGUCCUCAUCGGAUUACCGAAUUCAGUCAAACUCCGAAUGCCAAUGACUUAUCCUUAGGAGUCAGACUGCGAGUGAUAAGAUCCGUAGUCAAAAGGGAAACAGCCCAGACCGCCAGCUAAGGUCCCAAAGUGUGUAUUAAGUGGAAAAGGAUGUGG
rnacentral:rRNA from 1 species